rnacentral:lncRNA from 1 species
UAUCCAAAUAAUUGGCGCACAAGUGUGGGCGUGGGAAGGCCUUUGCAUGGGAGAAAAUUCAUGAGAAGUUAUUUCUCGAGAAUUCAAAUGGGCGCAGAAGAAGUGAGGUGGCGCAGGGAGUUGAUGUCAAGGUGGUUUCUAACUUUAAAUCAACCUAAUUGAACCAACUUAAUUAAAAUAAGUUAGGUCCAAUUAGACUAAUUUAAAUCUAACAU